UACGUAGGGGGCGUGCGUUGCCCGAAUUUACUGGGCGUAAAGCGCACGUAGGCCGCUUCGUAAGCCUGGUGUGAAAUUUCACGGCUCAACCGAGAGGCGGCACCAGAUACUGCGAAGCUCGAGGACGGUAGAGGAGAUUGUAAUUCCCGGUGUAGCGGUGAAAUGCAUUGAUAUCGGGAGGAACACCAGUGGCGAAGGCGGAUCUCUGGCCCGUUUCUGACGCUGAGGUGCGAAAUCUGGGGGAGCGAAAGGG
rnacentral:rRNA from 1 species